rnacentral:rRNA from 1 species
UGCAGUCGAACGCGAAAGUCCCGCAAGGGAUCAGUAGAGUGGCAAACGGGUGAGUAACGCGUGGGUGACCUGCCUUCGAGCGGGGGAUAACGUUCCGAAAGGGACGCUAAUACCGCGUAAUAUCCUGCCUUUCGAGAGGUGGAGAUCAAAGCUGGGGAUCGCAAGACCUGGCACUCGAAGAGGGGCCCGCGUCCGAUUAGCUAGUUGGUGAGGUAAUGGCUCACCAAGGCGACGAUCGGUAGCCGGCCUGAGAGGGCGGACGGCCACACUGGGACUGAGACACGGCCCAGACUCCUACGGGAGGCAGCAGUGGGGAAUUGUUCGCAAUGGGCGCAAGCCUGACGACGCAACGCCGCGUGGAGGAUGAAGACCUUCGGGUCGUAAACUCCUUUCGAUCGAGACGAACGGCCUCCGGAUGAACAGUCCGGAGGAAUGACGGUACCGAGAGAAGAAGCCCCGGCUAACUCCGUGCCAGCAGCCUCGGUAAUACGGGGGGGGCAAGCGUUGUUCGGAAUUACUGGGCGUAAAGGGCUCGUAGGCGGCCAACUAAGUCAAACGUGAAAUCCCUCGGCUUAACCGGGGAACUGCGUCUGAUACUGGAUGGCUUGAGUUUGGGAGAGGGAUGCGGAAUUCCAGGUGUAGCGGUGAAAUGCGUAGAUAUCUGGAGGAACACCGGUGGCGAAGGCGGCAUCCUGGACCAUACUGACGCUGAGGAGCGAAAGCCAGGGGAGCAAACGGGAUUAGAUACCCCGGUAGUCCUGGCCUAACGAUGAAUGCUUGGUGUGACGGGUAUCGAUCCCUGUCGUGCCAAGCUAACGCAAUAAGCAUUCCGCCUGGGGAGUACGUCGCAAGGUGAAACUCAAAGGAA